rnacentral:lncRNA from 1 species
CGCGCUAGAACGAAUAUGCAUCCCAGCCGGGGGGGGGAGAGACGCCAUGGCGUUGUUUACAUCCCGGGGCCCAGUAGCAGGUCCCAGCCUCUUCCUUCUCGGGUGAUUUCUAGAGUAAAUAAUUGAGAGAAGACUACAAGUGUGUCCCAUCCCUGAAUUGGGAGUUCCCUGCUUUGUGCUUUAAGUCAGGCCAACAGGUUGAGACACAAGCUGUUUUGGUCAGGACUUGAGGAUGUUGACCAGAGUCCGCUAAUAUCCUUCAAUAUUUAGUGUUACAGACACCUGCUCCAAGUGAUACGCCAUUACAGAAGUGUUCCGGUUCGGCCUCGUGCCCAUCGCUUGUCGUGCCCGGAAUGAGGACCGCAGCCAAGUGGCAUUGAGUCUCAACAACAAUGAAGUGAAUAUAUAUGGCAGAGCUGCAUCAGAGUGGAAGCU